CGCCUUCCCGCCGCCGCGCAGCCAUGUCCGAGGAGAAGCCCAAGGAGGGCGUGAAGACGGAGAAUGAUCACAUCAACCUGAAGGUGGCGGGGCAGGACGGCUCCGUGGUGCAGUUCAAGAUCAAGCGGCACACCCCGCUGAGCAAGCUGAUGAAGGCCUACUGUGAGAGGCAGGGCUUGUCAAUGAGACAGACUAGAUUUAGGUUUGACGGGCAACCGAUUAAUGAAACAGACACUCCAGCACAGCUGGAGAUGGAGGACCAGGACACCAUCGACGUGUUCCAGCAGCAGACUGGGGGCGCGCGGGAGACCAGCCGCUUGUUGGGCGUGGCCUCUAGAGGGACCGUCCUCGUGCUGGUUGCCCUUCCUUACAUUGCCGUUGAGUAG